GCUGGCUCCGCCUGCAGCAGCAGAGGAGGCACACCGGUCUACAAUCUACCUCAUCAACCGCUCCAUAUAAGCCUGGUCUUCACUCCACGACGGCGCCAGAUAAUUCCGUCUCAUGCGCCAGAUCUUCCAGUCUGCCUCGCUGCUGCUGCUGCUUCCGCGUUUUCUCAGUGACUGUUUCCAUGUGCUUGGUCAUCUCGGUCCAAGUCCUCCGAGCCACGAGCCGUCCAGCUCCUUGCCCUUCAGCUCGCAUUUUUGCCUCGUGGUUUAUAAUAAACUUUGUUACCGUUUU